UACGGAGGGGACUAGCGUUGUUCGGAAUUACUGGGCGUAAAGCGCACGUAGGCGGAUUUGUAAGUCAGGGGUGAAAUCCCGGGGCUCAACCUCGGAACUGCCUUUGAUACUGCAAAUCUCGAGUCCGGAAGAGGUGAGUGGAAUUCCUAGUGUAGAGGUGAAAAUUCGUAGAUAUUCGCAAGAACACCAGUGGCGAAGGCGGCUCACUGGCCCGGUACUGACGCUGAGGUGCGGAAAGCGUGGGGAGCAAACAGGG
rnacentral:rRNA from 1 species